rnacentral:rRNA from 1 species
UACGUAGGGUGCAAGCGUUGUCCGGAAUUAUUGGGCGUAAAGAGCUCGUAGGCGGUUUGUCACGUCUGCUGUGAAAUCCCGAGGCUCAACCUCGGGCUUGCAGUGGGUACGGGCAGACUAGAGUGCGGUAGGGGAGAAUGGAAUUCCUGGUGUAGCGGUGGAAUGCGCAGAUAUCAGGAGGAACACCGGUGGCGAAGGCGGGUCUCUGGGCAGUAACUGACGCUGAGGAGCGAAAGCGUGGGGGAGCGAACAGG